GCCCUCAUUUCCCUCUCAGGCAUGGAGUCCUGUGGCAUCCACGAAACUACCUUCAACUCCAUCAUGAAGUGUGACGUGGACAUCCGCAAAGACCUGUACGCCAACACAGUGCUGUCUGGCGGCACCACCAUGUACCCUGGCAUUGCCGACAGGAUGCAGAAGGAGAUCACUGCCCUGGCACCCAGCACAAUGAAGAUCAAGGUGGGUGUCUU
rnacentral:lncRNA from 1 species